GUGGGGAAUAUUGCACAAUGGAGGAAACUCUGAUGCAGCGACGCCGCGUGAGUGAAGAAGUAUUUCGGUAUGUAAAGCUCUAUCAGCAGGGAAGAAAAUGACGGUACCUGACUAAGAAGCACCGGCUAAAUACGUGCCAGCAGCCGCGGUAAUACGUAUGGUGCAAGCGUUAUCCGGAUUUACUGGGUGUAAAGGGAGCGUAGGUGGCAAGGCAAGCCAGAAGUGAAAACCCGGGGCUCAACCGCGGGAUUGCUUUUGGAACUGUCAUGCUAGAGUGCAGGAGGGGUGAGCGGAAUUCCUAGUGUAGCGGUGAAAUGCGUAGAUAUUAGGAGGAACACCGGAGGCGAAGGCGGCUCACUGGACUGUAACUGACACUGAGGCUCGAAAGCGUGGGGAGCAAACAGGAUUAGAAACCCCUGUAGUCC
rnacentral:rRNA from 1 species